GGAUGUGAGGUCAAUCUUGCUGUGACAUCUGCCACCCCAUUGAUCUCCAUAGUUUAUUUGGCUGAUAUGGCUGGCUACAUAUGUGACCCCUUCUUCCUUCAUCACUCUACAUGAGUCUCUCCCAAAGCUGUGUGCUUGAUUAAAGAGGACGACCUUGGAGCAGGAGCGAUAGUACAGUGGGUAGGGCAUUUUCCUUGCACGCAGCCAACCUGGGUUCAAUCCCAGACAUCCCAUAUGGUCCCAAGCACCUCCAGGAGUAAUUCCU
rnacentral:sRNA from 1 species